rnacentral:rRNA from 1 species
UACGAAGGGUGCAAGCGUUACUCGGAAUUACUGGGCGUAAAGCGUGCGUAGGUGGUUUGUUAAGUCUGUUGUGAAAGCCCCGGGCUCAACCUGGGAAUGGCAAUGGAUACUGGCAAGCUAGAGUGCGGUAGAGGGUAGUGGAAUUCCCGGUGUAGCGGUGAAAUGCGUAGAGAUCGGGAGGAACACCAGUGGCGAAAGGCGGCUACCUGGACCAGCACUGACACUGAGGCACGAAAGCGUGGGGAGCAAACAGG